rnacentral:lncRNA from 1 species
UGAGGAGCUGGGUACUAAAUUGCAUUUUAGUACCGCAUACCAUCCCCAGACAGACGGUCAGAGCGAGCGGACAAUUCAGACGCUGGAGGACAUGCUCCGAGCGUGUGUGUUAGACUUCGGGGGUAGUUGGGAUGCGUAUUUACCAUUGGCAGAGUUUUCCUACAACAACAGCCAUCAUUCGAGCAUUGGUAUGCCACCUUUCGAGCUGUUGUAUGGUAGGAGGUGUCGGACCCCCAUUUGCUGGGGAGAGGUGGGACAGAGAGUGAUGGGCAGCACGGAGAUCAUACUCCAGACGACAGAGCAGAUUCAACAAGUGAGACAAAGAUUAUUGACUGCCCAGAGCCGACAGAAGAGUUAUGCAGACAGGCGCCGAUCCGAGCUUGAAUUUCAAGUCGGCGACUUCGUUCUCCUGAAGGUCUCUCCUUGGAAAGGAGUGAUUCGAUUCAGGAAGAGGGGCAAGUUGGGGCCCCGGUAUAUUGGGCCAUUUCGUGUGAUUGCAAGGAUAGGUCGGGUAGCCUAUCGGUUGGAGUUGCCAGCGGAGUUGGGUCAGAUCCAUGACACUUUUCAUGUGUCGCAGUUGAGGAAGUGCAUAGCCGAUGAGUCGGCAGUGGUUCCAUUGGAGGAUAUUCAGGUGGAUGCGAGCCUGAAUUACGCGGAGAGACCAGUGGCUAUCAGGGAUCGGAAGAUCAAGGUUCUGAGGAACAAGGAGGUACCUCUGGUGUUGGUUCAAUGGCAACACCGUAAGGGAUCAGAAAUGACUUGGGAACCGGAGCGCGAAAUGCGGGAGCAGCAUCCGGAACUAUUUGCAGAGUGAGACUUCGAGGGCGAAGUCUAAUCCAAGUGGGGGAGAGUUGUAACAGCCCGGAAUCUCAGGUAUUAUUAAAAUUAUGUUUUUGGGGUGAUUUAAGAGGGGACUCGGCGAGUUGGAGCCUAGACUCGCCGAGUAGGAUCGCAGACUUGGUCGCGGGUCCGCGACUGGACUCGACGAGUCCAGAUAUGGACUCGGCGAGUCGACGCUGUUCAGCAGAAACCCUAACCGUUCAGUUUGGAUCGUAUUUAACGCCUCUUAGGCCGUCAUUUUCAGUCUUUUGGUCAAUUGAGAGGAACCCUAAUCGCUGUGGACGCCUAGAGCAAGGGAGAAAGCUUUGGAACUUGGAAGAAUUGGUUAGGCAAGAAGAAGAGGGAUUUGGCUAAAGGAAUAUCAAGGAGGAUUGAGUCCUGAGAUUUGGGGGACACAGAGAGUGCGUUUUCAGGUAAUACUCGGACCAAAUCUGUUAUUUUGAUGUAUUUAUGAAAUUAGGGUUUAUAGAACCCAUUUAGUGAUUUGAUGAAGUAAUGCCUUGUUACCCCACGAUUAUAGUCUUGUAUUAGGACCUUUAGAGGUCCAGAAGGUCCCAUGCAUGUGUACUUCGGGACGAGACCUAUCUCAGGAAGCAGUUACUCGUCUGCAUGGCAUGGACUCGCCGAGUUGUUCUUCAGACUCGGCGAGUAGCUUGAAGAUUUGCUGGGACUCGCCGAGUUGUUCAUCAGACUCGGCGAGUGGAGUCGGGGUGGCCCCGCGAUUCUUCCACGAGGACCUCGUCGAGUCAAGAGGGAUACUCGACGAGUAGAAAGGGAAUAUUCAGGAAUUUGUGAGGACGACUAGACUCGCCGAGUCGCCAUGGUACUCGCCGAGUCCAGUCGAGUUGACCGUUGACCGUUGACCAGAGUUGACCUAAGUCUGACUUCUUAGGGAUAGUCACACUUAGAUGAUAUGAGUGUUAAUGAGUUAUGUAAUGUUAUAGGAGGGUUGUAGCUCGUUGGUUUGUGCGCGAGUGAUUUCAGGAGUUGCUAGCUUUCAGCACUUACGAGGUGAGUCUUCUCACUAUACUGUACCCGGAAGGGUUUGACUGUGUGACCGGAAGGUCGGAUAUGAUAUGUGAUAUGUAUGCUAUAUGUGGUAUGUUAUAUGUUAUAUGUGCUAUGUAUGUUAUGGGCCGGAAGGCGAAUAUGUUAUGGGCCGGAAGGCGAUAUGAUGUGUGAUGGACCGGAAGGUCGGCGUGGGUAAGGCCGGAAGGUUUACCCAGCAGGGACGGAAGUCCCCUGAGACACAUGGACCGGAAGGUCGGGCCUGGAAAGGCGUAUGUGCGUAAGUUGUAUAUUGGGGAACUCACUAAGCAUUUAUGCUUACAGUUGUUGUGCAUGUAUUUCAGGUACUAGCGAGGACCGUGGGAAGGCGCCGGCAUGAUCGAUACACACUGAAGAUUGUUUUAUGAUCUUGGGAGUUUGAAUAAUUGUAUUGACCGAAUAAUUAAACUGUUUAUGCCUUGUUUUUAAUGGAAAUAAUUAUGUUUUAAAAAUGAAAAAUUUGUUUGAAAAAUUUGAGUUGUUACAAUUGGUAUCAGAGCCUUGGUUUGAGGGAUUCGGGUGCACCUUCGGGGGUAACUGAACUCAAACCGAGGAUUUGAGGAAACUUUUCAAAUAAAGGCAUAAACUUUUGUAAAUGGUUUUGUGGUAAGCAAGAAAGAAGCAGUGUGUACGAUCAGUCAGCGCCCGAACGGUAAAGAUCCCCAAAAUACCUUACAAUAUUAUAUGAUAUGAAUUGUUAUGCAUGCUAGAAGACUAGGUAUUCAUGAUAGGACUAGAGUGGCCUGAUUUGUGAUGCCUUAGUCUAGGGAAGUUGCCUAUAUGAGAUGCUUUGCUAGUAUGCGGGUAGAUAGAGCGUAUCAGAAGUAGAGUACUCACUAUCUGGAGUUUGGGGAGGAGGACUUGGGAUGAACAUUGAUGCGGUGUGGUCGGUAGUAUUGGGCCCGUACUACCGAGGACACCGGGUCAGUGGGAGGCCCAAGUAAGAAUCCCUGGAUAUCUGGGACUGAGUAGGGUUGCGUGUCGAGUACGAUUAUACUCGGUAGAAUCUCUGAUAGUUUUAUGUUGUAUUUCAGAGAUAUCAUGGUUAGACCGCGGCACGGGGCAAGUACGAGCGGUGUGAGUGACGAGGAUAUUCGUCAGAUGAUCCACGAGGAGGUGGCGGCGGCGAUCCGGGCUGAGAUCCCGGAGAUGUUUGGGUCUAUCAAGACCACCCUGAUGGAGACGUUCGACGAGCGGUACGCCGCAUUGACUGAGGCUGCAACCGCUGCAGCUACCGCAGCUGUGGCCGCUGCUAGGCCACAGGGGGGUGAUUCAUUGCUGUUCCGAGAGUUCAGCAACACGAAGCCACCAGAGUUCGAUGGGACGCAGGAUCCGAUUGCUGCGAUGAGGUGGAUCGCAGAUAUAGAGGGGUGCUUCUACACUUGUUCAUGCCCGGAGCACCUGAGGGUACGGUUCGCUUUGAACCAGCUCCGUCUGGGAGCAAAGGACUGGUGGAAGUUCGUGACGGCGAACUUCACUUUGGCAGAGACUGCGGCAGUGACAUGGGAGGGGUUCACUACCAUGUUCAGGGAGGAGUACGUUCCCCCGGUGGAGCGGGAACGAUUGGUUCAGGAGUUCUUAACCCUCAAGCAGGGUACUGAUUCGGUGGCGGCGAUCACGCGGAAGUUCCAUGAGAGGGCGAUGUUUUGCCCCGAGCUGGUGGCCACAGAGCAGGCUCGGAUGAGCCGGUACUUGGGUGUUCUGAGGAGGGAGAUCCGGGAGUUUGUGUCAAACUCCACUUACCAUACUUUUACUGAGCUUCAGGCGAAUGCCAGGAAGCGUGAGAUCGAGUUAGAGACUCAGGCCAGGGAGGAGGCCGAGUCUCAGCAGGCAGACCGGCGGCCGGCUCAGUCUCAGCCGGCAGCCAAGCGGAUCAAGUCCGCCGAUUCGAGGACGGGAGGUUCGAAGAACCGCACUUGCGUAAAGUGCGGCAAGGGUCACGAUGGGGCGUGUCGAGCCGGUGCUUGCUACAAGUGUGGCAAGGAGGGACACAUUGCUAGGGAGUGUCCCAAGGGAUUUAUGGUUUGCUUUCAUUGCAACCAGACCGGCCAUCGGAAGGCCGAGUGCCCUCAGCUUCGUCAGGGAUCUGCACCUGUUGCCAGGACUACUGAGACUCGACCGGUGAAGGUCGAGGCCCCGAGGGCUCGUGGGAGAGCCUUUCAGCUGACUGCGGAGGAGGUCCGCGCUGCGCCCGAUGUUGUGGCAGGUAUGUUGUAAUUCAUGUAUUUAUUUUAAUGUCGAUAUGUUAUGCUUAUGUUAUUAUGCGCGUAGGUACUUUCCUUGUGAACUCUGUGCCUGCCUUAGUGUUAUUUGACUCGGGUGCGAGUAGGUCCUUUGUGUCCUUAGCCUUUAGUCAGCAUAUCGGCGUUAGUCGUGAGUCGUUGAGUCGACCUUUGAGAGUUUCUAUAGCUGACGAGAAGGUGAUUUGUGCUACGGAGGUUCUUCGGGGAUGUGUACUAGAGAUUUUCGGGGUUGGAUUCCCGAUUGACCUGAUUCCUAUUGCGAUGGGGGAUGUCUGUGUUAUCGUGGGCAUGGACUGGUUGAGCCGAUUCGGCGCUGUCAUCGACUGCGAGCGUCAGUUGGUGACCAUACGAGACCAUAGUGGGGGAGUUCUUUCGGUGUACGGUGAGGGUACCCGUUCAGGAUCAGCUUUUUGUUCGGCCGCUAGGGCGAGGCAGUGUCUACAGCAGGGCUGUAAGGGUUUUGUGGCGUAUGUGAUGGAUACGCGGGAGGUUUCCGAGAGACCGAAGUCAGUUGAGGAGGUCCCUGUGGUGCGUGAGUUUUCAGAUGUUUUUCCCGAGGAACUGCCGGGAGUACCUCCUGUGAGGCAAGUAGAGUUUGGUAUCGAUCUGGUUCCGGGGGCCGCGCCUAUUGCUAAAGUGCCCUAUCGUCUUGCACCUCCAGAGAUGCAAGAGUUGUCCUCGCAACUCCAGGAGUUGCUGGGGAAGGGAUUCAUUCGGCCGAGCAGCUCGCCAUGGGGAGCACCUAUUCUGUUCGUCAAGAAGAAGGAUGGUUCACACCGGAUGUGCAUUGAUUACCGGGAGUUGAACAAGCUAACGGUCAAGAACCGUUACCCGUUGCCGAGGAUCGAUGAUUUAUUCGAUCAGUUGCAGGGAGCAUCUUGGUUUUCCAAGAUCGAUCUGAGGUCAGGAUACCAUCAGGUGAGAGUACGGGAUGAAGACGUCCAGAAGACAGCGUUUAGGACGCGAUAUGGGCAUUAUGAGUUUGUGGUGAUGCCUUUUGGACUCACCAAUGCCCCGGCUGUGUUCAUGGAUCUCAUGAACAGGGUAUGCAGGCCGAUGUUGGAUCGGUCAGUGAUUGUAUUUAUCGACGACAUUCUGGUGUAUUCGAGAUCUAGAGAGCAGCAUGAGGAGCAUUUGAGGGAGGUCCUUGAGGUAUUGAGGUCGGAGAAGCUUUAUGCAAAGUUCUCCAAAUGUGACUUCUGGUUGCGGGAGGUCCAGUUUCUAGGACAUGUGGUUAAUCAGAAAGGGAUAUUGGUCGAUCCGGCCAAGGUUGAGGCGGUGAUGAGUUGGGAGGUGCCGAAGUCACCCUCUGAGAUCAGAAGUUUCCUUGGGUUGGCAGGGUAUUAUCGGAGAUUUAUCAAGGAUUUCUCCAAGAUCGCAGUGCCACUCACCAGAUUGACCCGGAAGGGUGUUACAUUCUCAUGGGGGCCCGAGCAGCAGACCUCCUUUGAGACACUUCGCCAGAGAUUGUGCGAAGCCCCGGUAUUAGCUCUCCCAGAAGGGAUGGAAGAUUUCGUGGUAUAUUGCGACGCAUCGAUUUCGGGAUUGGGUGCAGUGUUGAUGCAGAGGGGUCAUGUGAUAGCUUAUGCGUCGAGGCAGCUGAAGCCUCAUGAGGCGAGAUAUCCCACGCAUGAUUUAGAGUUGGGGGCAGUAGUGUUCGCUCUCAAGAUUUGGCGUCACUACUUGUAUGGGGUUCGAUGUACGAUAUACACGGACCAUAAGAGUUUGAAGUAUUUGAUGGAUCAACCCAACCUAAAUAUGCGUCAGAGGAGGUGGUUGGAUGUGGUCAAGGAUUAUGAUUGUGAGAUCCUGUACCACCCAGGCAAGGCUAAUGUGGUAGCCGAUGCAUUGAGCCGCAGGGCGGAGAGCACUCCAUUGCGAGAUGUAUGCUUGAGACUGACUGUGAUGACUCCAGUAUUGGACGCUAUUCGUGGGGCCCAGGCAGAGGCUGUGCGACCAGAAAUGCAGAAGAAAGAGCGGGUUGUGGGGUUAAUCUCAGAGUUUGUCAAGGAUAGUCGAGGCCUUAUGACGUUUCAGGGUCGGAUUUGGGUACCGUUCGUGGGCGGUACGCGUAUUACGUUGAUGGAAGAGGCUCAUAGAUCGAAAUUCUCGAUCCAUCCCGGUGCUACAAAGAUGUAUUUGGAUUUAAGGAAGGAAUAUUGGUGGCCCUGUAUGAAGAGGGACGUGGCAUGGUUCGUUGAGAGGUGCUUGACCUGUCGUAGGGUUAAGGCUGAGCACCAGAGACCGCAUGGCAAGUUACAGCCAUUGGAGAUCCCCGAGUGGAAGUGGGAACAGAUCACUAUGGAUUUUAUCACCAAAUUGCCGAGGACUGCUAGGGGAGUUGACGCAAUUUGGGUGAUCGUGGAUAGGUUGACAAAGAGUGCACACUUCCUUGCCAUCAGUGAGAGUUCUUCGGCGGAGAAAUUGGCGGAGAUAUACGUGAGAGAGGUGGUAUCUCGGCACGGGGUGCCGAUCUCGAUUGUGUCAGACCGUGAUGUGCGCUUUACUUCCAGAUUCUGGAAGAAAUUCCAUGAGGAGCUGGGUACUAAAUUGCAUUUUAGUACCGCAUACCAUCCCCAGACAGACGGUCAGAGCGAGCGGACAAUUCAGACGCUGGAGGACAUGCUCCGAGCGUGUGUGUUAGACUUCGGGGGUAGUUGGGAUGCGUAUUUACCAUUGGCAGAGUUUUCCUACAACAACAGCCAUCAUUCGAGCAUUGGUAUGCCACCUUUUGAGUUGUUGUAUGGUAGGAGGUGUCGGACUCCCAUUUGCUGGGGAGAGGUGGGACAGAGAGUGAUGGGCAGUACAGAGAUCGUACUCCAGACGACAGAGCAGAUUCAGCAGGUUAGGCAGAGGUUAUUGACCGCCCAUAGCCGACAGAAGAGUUAUGCGGACAGACGCCGGUCCGAGCUUGAAUUCCAGGUUGGCGACUUCGUUCUCCUGAAGGUUUCUCCUUGGAAAGGAGUGAUCCGGUUCAGAAAGAGGGGCAAGUUGGGACCCCGGUUCAUAGGUCCAUUUCGGGUAAUUGCAAGAGUAGGUCGGGUAGCUUAUCGGCUAGAGUUGCCAGCAGAGUUGGGACAGAUUCACAAUACCUUUCACGUAUCACAGUUGAGGAAGUGUAUAGCCGAUGAAUCGGCAGUGGUUCCGUUAGAGGAUAUUCAGGUGGAUGCGAGUCUGAAUUACGCCGAGAGACCAGUAGCUAUCAGGGAUCGGAAGGUCAAGGUUCUGAGGAACAAGGAGGUACCUCUGGUGUUGGUUCAGUGGCAACACCGAAAGGGAUCAGA